AUUGAACGCUGGCGGCAGGCCUAACACAUGCAAGUCGAACGAGUGGCGGACGGGUGAUUAAUGUCUGGUAAACUGCCCGAUGGAGGGGGAUAACUACUGGAAACGGUAGCUAAUACCGCAUACCAUCGGAUGUGCCCACAUGGGAUUAGCUAGUAGGUGGGGUAACGGCUCACCUAGGCGACGAUCCCUAGCUGGUCUGAGAGGAUGACCAGACACACUGGAACGGAGACACGGUCCAGACUCCUACGGGAGGCAGCAGUGGGGAAUAUUGCACAAUGGGCUAAAGCCUGAUGCAGCCAUGCCGCGUGUAUGAAGAAGGCCUUCGGGUUGUAAAGUACUUUCAGCGGGGAGUCGUUACCCGCAGAAGAAGCACCGGCUAAAUCCGUGCCAGCAGCCGCGGUAAUUC
rnacentral:rRNA from 1 species